rnacentral:rRNA from 1 species
CUAGCGACUUCAGAGUUUGAUCCUGGCUCAGGAUGAACGCUGGCGGCGUGCUUAACACAUGCAAGUCGAACGAGCGGAGGACUUCGGUCCGAUGCGAGUGGCGGACGGGUGAGUAACGCGUGGGUAACCUACCCUAUACAGGGGAAUAACUGUGAGAAAUCACAGCUAAUGCCGCAUAAGCGCACAGUACCGCAUGGUACGGUGUGAAAAGCUCCGGCGGUAUAGGAUGGACCCGCGUCUGAUUAGGUAGUUGGUGGGGUAACGGCCUACCAAGCCGACGAUCAGUAGCCGACCUGAGAGGGUGACCGGCCACAUUGGGACUGAGACACGGCCCAG